GAGAUGGGGCCUGCUGGGAGGUGGCUGGUCCAUGGGAGCAGUUUCUAAUGGAUAAGCAUAAUCCCCCUAGCGCUGCUCUUGUGAUAGAGUUCUCAUGAGAUCUUGUUGUUUAAAGUGUAUAGGACCUUCCCCCUCUCUCUCUUCCUCCUGCUCUUGCUUUCCCUUCCACCAUGAUUGUUAAGUUUCCUGAGGCCUCCCCAGAAGCCGAGCAGAUGUCAGCAUCAUGCUUGCUGUACAGGCUGUGGAACUGUGAGCCAAUUUUCAGUACUCUUGUGUUUUCUUUUUAUUUUUUAAAUUUUAUUUUAAGUUCCAGGAUACAUGUGCAGGACAUGCAGGUUUGUUACAUAGGUAAACGUGAACUACGAUGAUUUGCUGUACCUAUCAACCCACUGCCUAGGUGCCUAGGUACUAAGCCUGACAUGUGUUAGCUAUUUAUCCUGAUGCUCUCCCUCCCCGUCCCCACUGACAGGCCCCAGUGUGUAUUGUUCUUCUCCCUGUGUCCAGGAGUUCUCAUUAUUCAGCUCCCACUUAUGAGUGAGAACAUGUGGUGUUUGGUCUUCUGUUCCUGUAUUAGUUUGCUGAAGAGGAUGGUUUCCAGAUUCAUGCAUGUCCCUGCAAAAGACAUGAUCUCAUUCCUUUUUAUGGCUGCAUAGUAUUCCAUGGUGUGUAUGCACCACAUUUUCUUUAUCCAGUCUAUCAUUGAUGGGCAUUUGGAUUGAUUCCAUGUUUUUGCUAAUGGGAAUAGUGCUGCUAUAAACAUACGCGUGCAUGCAUCUUUAUAAUAGAAUGAUUUAUAGUCCUUUGGUUAUAUACCCAGUAAUGGGAUCUCUGGGUCAAAUGGUAUUUCUGGUUCUAGAUCCUUGCAGAAUCGCCAAACUGUCUUCCACAAUGAUUGAACUAAUUAACAUUCCUACCAACAGUGUAAAAGUGUUUAUUUCUCCACAGUCUUGCCAGCAUCUGUUGUUUCUUGACUUUUUUUUUUUUAUUAUACUUUAAGUUUUAGGGUACAUGUGCACAACGUGCAGGUUUGUUACAUAUAUAUACAUGUGCCAUGCUGGUGUCCUGCACCCUUUAACUCGUCAUUUAGCAUUAGGUAUAUCUCCUAAUGCAAUCCCUCCCCACUCCGCCCACACCACAACAGUCCCCAGUGUGUGAUGUUCCCCUUCCUGUGUCCAUGUCUUCUCAUUGUUCAAAUCCCACCUAUGAGUGACAACAUGCGGUGUUCAGUUAUUUGUCCUUGCAAUAGUUUACUGAGAAUGAUGGUUUCCAGUUUCAUCCAUGUCCCUACAAAGCACAUGAACUCUUCAUUUUUUAUCCUGCAUAGUAAUCCAUGGUGUAUAUGUGCCACAUUUUCUUAACGCAGUCUAUCAUUGUUGGACAUUUGGGUUGGUUCC
rnacentral:lncRNA from 10 species